AGUGAACGCUGGCGGUAGGCCUAACACAUGCAAGUCGAACGGCAGCACAGUAAGAGCUUGCUCUUACGGGUGGCGAGUGGCGGACGGGUGAGGAAUACAUCGGAAUCUACUUUUUCGUGGGGGAUAACGUAGGGAAACUUACGCUAAUACCGCAUACGACCUACGGGUGAAAGCAGGGGAUCUUCGGACCUUGCGCGAUUGAAUGAGCCGAUGUCGGAUUAGCUAGUUGGCGGGGUAAAGGCCCACCAAGGCGACGAUCCGUAGCUGGUCUGAGAGGAUGAUCAGCCGCACUGGAACUGGGACACGGUCCAGACUCCUACGGGAGGCAGCAGUGGGGAAUAUUGGACAGUGGUCGCAAGCCUGAUCCAGCCAUACCGCGUGGGUGAAGAAGGCCUUCGGGUUGUAAAGCCCUUUUGUUGGGAAAGAAAAGCAGCAGGUUAAUACCCCGCUGUUCUGACGGUACCCAAAGAAUAAGCACCGGCUAACUUCGUG
rnacentral:rRNA from 1 species